rnacentral:lncRNA from 1 species
AGGAGACCUUUGUUCUUUCUUGGCAGCACCUGUGGCUAUUGGGCUGUCUUUCUGUAAGCCAGCAUUUGAGACUUUCACCUCUUUAAAAGGGUGUUCUAUGAUACCAACCUAUUUGGCAAAGUGCUUUGAUAUCUAUCUGUAAAAAAGGGAGUUGAGGGGUGAGAUGCCUUCGCAAAUUUUGCGUGUUUCAGGCUGGUACACUGCUAUGUCUUGGAAAAUGGGCAGGUUUUGAUGUUUGUGAUUCAUUCAGAGGGAAUUCUUGUCUUCUUUAAAUUCUUCCCUUAUUUGUAGGUAUUUGCUGUCUGGCUCACUAAGUGGGCCAUUCUCAGACUGUUUGCUACACUCCACUUGCUCACUCUCCAUGGGAUGCGUCACGCUCCGCCAGCUCUCACACUCCCAAGGCAGAUAAGGCAGACGGAAGCACAGCCCUAGGUUGGAGCAGAGCCCAUGAUUCGGUGGGGUGUGGUAAGCAGCAGCUCCCCUUCCCAUGUGGGAUGAUGCCUGUCUAUGACUCAGGUCAGAUAACAGGGCAGAGAGGAGCUGUUGUCUGGGGUAAACAUUCCAGCACUCCCAGUGCAGAUGCGGUGUUCAGCACGCAAAUCUUGAGCUAAGCACUACACGUGGAAGGAAGAUCGUAAGCCUCACUACUAGCUUUGCUCUGUUCCCCCAAGUCUCAUUCAACAGAAAACACCGAGGCAAUUCCUGCCUGGGAUGGAGGAUAGUGGCCUUUGAUCUCAGCAUAAGAGCAUCUGCCAUCACUACUAUUACAUUUUGUCAGGAAGAUCUUCUGGAAAACUACUCUUACCUCAUGAAAGAACACUGGAUGUUUGUCACCACUGUGAGACACAGUUGGAGGAAAUGUGUUGCUUGUAAACAUUCAGAAGUAAAAGACUUGAAGGUAAGUGGUCCAAAAGGCUCUUUGCAUGGUUUUGGAGAACUGUGGGGAGGAAUGUGUCCAAAAGCAAGGCAAGUGGUAAUGUUGAGAUAUAUCUUCAGUGCACAGCUUAACCUGGACAAGCCUUGCAGUUAUUAAGUCUCCGUCACUGCCUUGUACAGACUGGAAAGGAAGACAGUGAAGGUGUUGCAGCUCUAAGUAAGUCUUGGGCCACCUCCCCAGAAGAGCUGUGGAAGGGGUGGCUGCUGGUAGAAUGAGCUGAGUCGUUGCACACUGGAGGAACAGUUCUCUUCAGCUAACAUCAUCUGGUUUUGAAGCAGAGCUGGUUUCCGCUGGUAGAUAUGGUUGCGGGAAGGUUGGAGCUGCUUACUCCCACUUCCUCCCCAGACAGACAGACUGUCUGAGGGCUCUGUGCCAGAGUUUGUGCUGGCACAUGGGCUCAGUCCCUGUGUCUGUAGGGUUUUGUUACUAAUGCGUUUAUAAGACUGAUGCCAUUAGUACUUACAUUACUGUCAUUCGUGUUACAGAAGCUGUAUUUGUCUACUUCUGCACUAAAAAGCAAAAAGAGAAAGGGAUUUUUUUCGUGUCAUGUAAUGAGAAGUGGAAACCAACACUUAAAAACUUUUUCCCUAACGUUCUGUCCUACUGCACUCUGUUGCAUUGCCCGUAGAGACUGACACAAAGAGAGAACUUGGAGCAACUUGUGUUUCUCCUUGUCUUGCAAACUGACCAGAUUCCCCUUUCAGAUGUGAGGUAGUACAUGUAUACAUGCUGCAAAACCAAGCUGUUAGCUAAUCCUCAGCUCUGGAAUCCGUCUGACAAAGGGGUAAAGCAGUGAGACAUGUUCCUUUUGUAAUCUGUUUAAGUAAACGAAAUUUAAUCUCUUCUUGGCCAGUUUUAAAGAUCGAGUCAUGAAAGCCUGGAAUAGUCCAGUUGUAUACAUUUCCCUUGGAAAGUAUCUGUUUCAGCUUUUCUCAUUGUUAAGCAGAUCUGAGACUUCCAUUAGAGCAUAUUCAAUCCUAGCUUUAGUUAAUAUUUUUCAAAUGUGCUCUGUUUGUAUACAUAAAGUCUUGCUAUCUCAGCUCUCAAAGAUUAUCUGAGGACAGGACAGCAAAUGCCUACUUGAAGCCACGCAGAU